rnacentral:tRNA from 2 species
GCACCUGUAGCUCAGCUGGAUAGAGUACUGCCCUCCGAAGGCAGGGGUCAUGGGUUCGAAUCCCGUCAGGUGCGCCA